rnacentral:rRNA from 1 species
UUCGGUGGGGAUUAGUGGCGAACGGGUGAGUAACACGUGGGCAAUCUGCCCUGCACUCUGGGACAAGCCCUGGAAACGGGGUCUAAUACCGGAUACUGAUCCUCGCAGGCAUCUGCGAGGUUCGAAAGCUCCGGCGGUGCAGGAUGAGCCCGCGGCCUAUCAGCUUGUUGGUGAGGUAACGGCUCACCAAGGCGACGACGGGUAGCCGGCCUGAGAGGGCGACCGGCCACACUGGGACUGAGACACGGCCCAGACUCCUACGGGAGGCAGCAGUGGGGAAUAUUGCACAAUGGGCGAAAGCCUGAUGCAGCGACGCCGCGUGAGGGAUGACGGCCUUCGGGUUGUAAACCUCUUUCAGCAGGGAAGAAGCGAAAGUGACGGUACCUGCAGAAGAAGCGCCGGCUAACUACGUGCCAGCAGCCGCGGUAAUACGUAGGGCGCAAGCGUUGUCCGGAAUUAUUGGGCGUAAAGAGCUCGUAGGCGGCUUGUCACGUCGGUUGUGAAAGCCCGGGGCUUAACCCCGGGUCUGCAGUCGAUACGGGCAGGCUAGAGUUCGGUAGGGGAGAUCGGAAUUCCUGGUGUAGCGGUGAAAUGCGCAGAUAUCAGGAGGAACACCGGUGGCGAAGGCGGAUCUCUGGGCCGAUACUGACGCUGAGGAGCGAAAGCGUGGGGAGCGAACAGGAUUAGAUACCCUGGUAGUCCACGCCGUAAACGGUGGGCACUAUGUGUGGGCAACAUUCCACGUUUGUCCGUGCCGCAGCUAACGCAUUAAGUGCCCCGCCUGGGGAGUACGGCCGCAAGGCUAAAACUCAAGGAAUUGA